CCUACGGGAGGCAGCAGUGAGGAAUAUUGGUCAAUGGACGAGAGUCUGAACCAGCCAAGUCGCGUGAAGGAUGACUGCCCUAUGGGUUGUAAACUUCUUUUAUAUGGGAAUAAAAUGUUCCACGUGUGGGAUUUUGUAUGUACCAUAUGAAUAAGGAUCGGCUAACUCCGUUCCAGCAGCCGCGGUAAUACGGAGGAUCCGAGCGUUAUCCGGAUUUAUUGGGUUUAAAGGGAGCGUCGGUGGAUUGUUAAGUCAGUUGUGAAAGUUUGCGGCUCAACCGUAAAAUUGCAGUUGAAACUGGCAGUCUAGAGUACAGUAGAGGUGGGCGGAAUUCGUGGUGUAGCGGUGAAAUGCUUAGAGAUCACGAAGAACUCCGAUUGCGAAGGCAGCUCACUGGACUGCAACUGACACUGAGGCUCGAAAGUGUGGGUAUCAAACAGGAUUAGAUACCCCUGUAGUC
rnacentral:rRNA from 1 species